rnacentral:rRNA from 1 species
GACGUAGGGCGCGAGCGUUGUCCGGAUUUAUUGGGCGUAAAGAGCUCGUAGGCGGUUUGGUAAGUCGGGUGUGAAAUCUCCACGCUCAACGUGGAGGGGCCACUCGAUACUGCCAUGACUCGAGUCCGGUAGAGGAGUGUGGAAUUCCCGGUGUAGCGGUGAAAUGCGCAGAUAUCGGGAGGAACACCAAUGGCGAAGGCAGCUCGCUGGGACGGUACUGACGCUGAGACGCGAAAGCGUGGGGAGCAAACAGG